GUCAGUAUAGCUCAAUUGGUAGAGCGCUAGUCUUGUAAACUAGAUGUUGUGAGUUCGAGUCUCACUUCUGAUA
rnacentral:tRNA from 1 species